rnacentral:rRNA from 1 species
UACGUAGGGUGCGAGCGUUGUCCGGAAUUACUGGGCGUAAAGAGCUCGUAGGUGGUUUGUCGCGUUGUUCGUGAAAACUCACAGCUCAACUGUGGGCGUGCGGGCGAUACGGGCAGACUGGAGUACUGCAGGGGAGACUGGAAUUCCUGGUGUAGCGGUGAAAUGCGCAGAUAUCAGGAGGAACACCGGUGGCGAAGGCGGGUCUCUAGGCCGACACUGACGCUGAGGAGCGAAAGCGUGGGGAGCGAACAGG